UCGAUUUCAUAUUAUUGAAUAGUUUGCAAGAUAACAUCAUAUGAUUAUAGCCAAAACGUAAAACAUUCAUGUAACGUGGUAAAAUAUCAUCUCAAAAUCAUAAUAUGAACAAAAGGUGGUAAUCAUGCUAUAAUCUCAUCACAGCAAAUGUAUUGAACAAUUCACCAAAAAUAUAUCCUCUGACUAAAAUAUAUAAUCCGCCACUUGGGUUAAGAACUUUUGCCAUGGGCCUUUGGCCCCCUCCGUAAACAAAAAGUCGAUAUCAAAGACUUCUCAUAAUCAAUUUUAGAACACGGUCAAGACCCCUCUGUAAACUAUAUAUAUACGGUCGAGACCCCUUCAUCUACGGUCCGAGACCCCUUCAUCUACGGUCCAAGACCCCUCAGUGUAGUGUAGAACACGGCCAAGGACUCUCUGUGAACUAGAAGAAGUAUAUAAUCAUGGGUACUUUUUUGGUCAAUCUCAACAUCACAUGUCUUACAUACCAAACAAAUUUCAAUAUCACAUGUCUCACAUACCAAAUUAUAAAUAUGCCAUAAAUAAUCUUUGAGAUUCCGCAUGUAUUCUAAUAAAAGAGAUUUCUGUAAUAAUCAUAAAAUCGAACACAUAAUUGCAAAUAAAUGCACAUACUUUGAUAAUAGACUUAAUUUAUAAAUACUUUAAAAACAUUUAUAUGUUUCCACUUACAGAUCUAUGGAUAGAAAUCUACUUAAAUUGACAAGUCUUUCCAAACUUUCACGUCAUUACCUGAAAUAACAGUAUAGUUACUCAAAUUAAAACUUGACAAUUAAAGUAAUACAAUUUCACCACUUAACUCCCCAACUUCUAUAUUUACUUUUACAUCUCUAGUUCCCCAACUUUUAUUUUCUUUAUUGAUUCAUCAACAAAACACCAUGCAUUAUUAAAUCCAUUAAAUUACUCACACUUCCUUAAAAUCAAUAACUUAUACAUAUACAACCCCUAUGCAUAAUUUAUUCCGAUACAUAAACCUCAAUACUUGUCAUAAAACUUCAUUCAAGCCUUUAAAAUGUGAAAUCAAAGGUUUGACAAAGACAGCACUAAAAUUCCAUAAUGUUGAAAUCUGACACCAAUUUCUAGAUAUUGAAAUUUGGCCCCAAAACUAUUGAUAGAAGUGGCAACAUUCUGGGCACACUUUUAGAAAUAGCACCUAUACUACAGUAACCCUAAAAUUACCUUUAAAAAAUGGAAAAUUCCAACCUCAAAUCCCUAAUUUAAGUGUUCAAUAUUAUAGAAUCACAACAAAAUCAAAGAGUAAGUAUUUAUCUCACAAACCCCUUCAAAAUUCCAAUUUCUUCAUCACAAAUUUCAAAAUAUACAUUCCUUUGAUAUAUUCUUGUUUAAUACCUCAAAAAUAUAAUAAUAAUCUCUAAUUCUUGCUAAACUUCGAAUAUGAAUGAAUGGUUCAUAAACUCUAGAAAUUUAAUUAACUUACCUCUUUAAAAUAAGGAUAAGCUGAAGAAAUGAAGAACCCAAACUUAUAAAAAUCACCGGCCUCUUCCAUUUCCUUUCUUUUCUUCUUUUUUUUCUUCCUUUUUCUCUCUUUUUCUCCCUCUUUUUCUCGAAUUCUCCCAGCUUCUGCCCCGUUUCCACUUUCCACAUUCUUGUAUAUGUUUUUGUGUGUGUAAUGAAAUGAACAAGUGGUUUUUAAAUGGGCCACAACUAAAAUUUGUAAAGAAAAUCCCCCUUCUUCAAUUAAGCAUAACAUUUAGUCAUUAAACUUCCAUACUUGUAAAUUAAAUUCUAA
rnacentral:lncRNA from 1 species